UGCUACUCCAAAAAGGAAAUUGAUGAAGUAAGGAUAGAGUGGGCAGAAUUUGUAUGUAAAAUCACAGAUGAGUGAUGAUGGAUGGUGUAACUUGCUUGGUUUGCAGUUAUGUUUCAAUUAGUAGGAUGAUGAUGUUUGGAUUCUAAUGUAAUGUAGGAUGAUGAUGUUUGGAUUCUAAUGUAAUGUAGGGAUGAUGAUGUUGGAUUCUAAUGUAAUGUAGGGAUGAUGAUGUUGGAUUAUAAUGUAUGAAUUUUAUUAUUAAUU